AGUUAUUGCCCUUUAUAGUCAAUUUUUAACCAUUUUUCGUAAAUCUUUGUAAUCUUUUACAAAAAUCUUCUCCUCUGAAACUACUGGGCUAGUUUAAAAAAUGUGUUCGAUGACCCUGUCUGCCAACCAAGAUGGCAGACAUGACUAAUAAUAGUACAUAGGGUAAAAUGCAGUUUUUGGCUAAAAUCUCAGAAACUAAAGCAUUUAAAGCAAAUCUGACAGGAUUAAAUUUGUUUGAUAGGUCAAAGUCUAUCUGCCCUGAAAUUUUCAGACCAAUCAGGCAACCCAUUGUUUGGUUGCCGCCCCGGAAUUGGUAAUUUUCAGAGAAUUUUAGAGUUUUGGUUAUUAUCUUGAAUUUUAUUAUAGAUGUGGAUAUAGCCAAAAUUUUCAAUUGACCCUCUAAGGGAGUUACUGCCCUUCAUAGUCAAUUUUAACAAUUGAUUUGUAUUUUUUGUAAACUUUUACCAAAUGCUUCUUCUCUGAAACUGCAGUAGUCCCGAAAAAGGUCCUGCCCCCCCUCACUAAUGAACAUAAACUUAAAACAAACAUUUAUUCAUAAUGAUAGCGUUCCUUUGUUUCAUAAUUUUGGUUUCUUUUCAACAGAUUCCAAAGUUUGAAUGUCAAGUUUGAAUUCCAAUAAUAAUUUAUACAGACUUCAUCCCCUUUUACAGGUAAUGUGUGCCUCAUAUUAUUGUUUAAAACUUUAAUAGAAAAACAGACACUUUGAGAGCUAAAUUAAUCAAGAAC
rnacentral:lncRNA from 1 species